ACGCUGUUGGUGUAUUGGUAACAUUAGAGCUUCCCAUUUAUGAGUUUAAUGGCCGCCCUUUAGUGUCGGAUAAUUGCUCUAGCACGGGGUUCGAUUCCCCGACAGCGUA